ACACAUGGUUGUAUUUACAUGUAGGGAGGGGUGUUGGUCUGUUCUACCCUUACACAGGGAAGAAAUACCUAAAAGUCUCUGC